GGUAGUAACGCGUGAGCAACCUGCCUAUGACAGUGGGAUAGCCUCGGGAAACCGGGAUUAAUACCGCAUAAAAUCGUAGAAACACAUGUUUUAACGGUCAAAGAUUUAUCGGUCAUAGAUGGGCUCGCGUCUGAUUAGCUAGUUGGUGAGAUAACAGCCCACCAAGGCGACGAUCAGUAGCCGGUCUGAGAGGAUGAACGGCCACAUUGGAACUGAGACACGGUCCAA
rnacentral:rRNA from 1 species